rnacentral:rRNA from 1 species
GACGAACGCUGGCGGCAGGCUUAACACAUGCAAGUCGAACGGUAGCAGGCCUUCGGGCGCUGACGAGUGGCGGACGGGUGAGUAACGCGUAGGAAUCUGCCUCAUAGUGGGGGACAACGUGGGGAAACUCACGCUAAUACCGCAUACGCCCUACGGGGGAAAGCGGGGGCUCGUAAGACCUCGCGCUAUGAGAUGAGCCUGCGUUAGAUUAGCUAGUUGGUAGGGUAAAGGCCUACCAAGGCGACGAUCUAUAGCUGGUCUGAGAGGACGAUCAGCCACACUGGGACUGAGACACGGCCCAGACUCCUACGGGAGGCUG